rnacentral:rRNA from 1 species
AGUGAACGCUGGCGGUAGGCCUAACACAUGCAAGUCGAACGGCAGCACAGUAAGAGCUUGCUCUUACGGGUGGCGAGUGGCGGACGGGUGAGGAAUACAUCGGAAUCUACUUUUUCGUGGGGGAUAACGUAGGGACACUUACGCUAAUACCGCAUACGACCUACGGGUGAAAGCAGGGGAUCUUAGGACCUUGCGCGAUUGAAUGAGCCGAUGUCGGAUUAGCUAGUUGGCGGGGUAAAGGCCCACCAAGGCGACGAUCCGUAGCUGGUCUGAGAGGAUGAUCAGCCACACUGGAACUGAGACACGGUCCAGACUCCUACGGGAGGCAGCAGUGGGGAAUAUUGGACAAUGGGCGCAAGCCUGAUCCAGCCAUACCGCGUGGGUGAAGAAGGCCUUCGGGUUGUAAAGCCCUUUUGUUGGGAAAGAAAAGCAGCAGGUUAAUACCCCGCUGUUCUGACGGUACCCAAAGAAUAAGCACCGGCUAACUUCGUG